AAAACUUUGCCAUUGCCACCUUCUGUUUCUCCUGAUCUUUAAAUUAAUCUAGGAGUCUUGGGAUGUUAACGCAUUUAAGUAUAAACCAUUCUUCUUUACUAUGGCAAACAAAGAAUCACUGCUGUCAGUGGACAUCAGGAAGAGUUUUGUGGG